UUAUUAGGAUGAUAUAUUAAUAUAUUAAUAUUUUUAAUUUUAUAAUAAUAAUAAUAAUAAUAUUAUUGAUCAACAAUAAAAUCCAUAAAUAAUUUAAAUAAUGAUAUAAAUUACUUAUGUAAAUACAUAAGAUUAUAUAUAUAUAUUAAUUUAUAUAUAUAUAUUUUUAAUAGUCCUAACAAAAAUUUGUGCCAGCAGUUGCGGUAAAACAAUGUGGGCUAGCGUUAAUCAUAAUGGCUUAAAGAGUUCGUAGAAUUAUAUAUAUAUUAAAUAUAUAUUAGAGUUAAUAAACAUUAAUUAAAGAAUUAUAAUAGUAAAGAUGAAAUAAUAAUAAUAAUUAUAAGACUGGUAUAUGUGAAAAUAUUAAUUAAUAAUUAACUGACAUUGAGGAACGAAGGCUAGAGUAGCAAUACGGAUUCGAUACCCGAGUAGUUCUAGCAGUAAACUAUGAACACCAUAUAUUAUUAAUAUAAUAUAAUAAUAAUAUAAAAAUGAAAAUGUAAGUGUUCCGCCUGAAGAGUACGUUCGCAAGAA
rnacentral:rRNA from 1 species